AAAUUGAAGAGUUUGAUCAUGGCUCAGAUUGAACGCUGGCGGCAGGCCUAACACAUGCAAGUCGAGCGGUAGCACAGAGAGCUUGCUCUCGGGUGACGAGCGGCGGACGGGUGAGUAAUGUCUGGGAAACUGCCUGAUGGAGGGGGAUAACUACUGGAAACGGUAGCUAAUACCGCAUAACGUCGCAAGACCAAAGUGGGGGACCUUCGGGCCUCAUGCCAUCAGAUGUGCCCAGAUGGGAUUAGCUAGUAGGUGGGG
rnacentral:rRNA from 3 species